rnacentral:lncRNA from 1 species
GCAGACGGCGGAGAGCAGAGAGGGAGCGCGCCUUGGCUCGCUGGCCUUGGCGGCGGCUCCUCAGGAGAGCUGGGGCGCCCACGAGAGGAUCCCUCACCCGGGUCUCUCCUCAGGGAUGACAUCAUCCGUCCACCUCCUUGUCUUCAAGGACCACCUCCUCUCCAUGCUGAGCUGCUGCCAAGGGGCCUGCUGCCCAUCUACACCUCACGAGGGCACUAGGAGCACGGUUUCCUGGAUCCCACCAACAUACAAAGCAGCCACUCACUGACCCCCAGGACCAGGAUGGCAAAGGAUGAAGAGGACCGGAACUGACCAGCCAGCUGUCCCUCUUACCUAAAGACUUAAACCAAUGCCCUAGUGAGGGGGCAUUGGGCAUUAAGCCCUGACCUUUGCUAUGCUCAUACUUUGACUCUAUGAGUACUUUCCUAUAAGUCUUUGCUUGUGUUCACCUGCUAGCAAACUGGAGUGUUUCCCUCCCCAAGGGGGUGUCAGUCUUUGUCGACUGACUCUGUCAUCACCCUUAUGAUGUCCUGAAUGGAAGGAUCCCUUUGGGAAAUUCUCAGGAGGGGGACCUGGGCCAAGGGCUUGGCCAGCAUCCUGCUGGCAACUCCAAGGCCCUGGGUGGGCUUCUGGAAUGAGCAUGCUACUGAAUCACCAAAGGCACGCCCGACCUCUCUGAAGAUCUUCCUAUCCUUUUCUGGGGGAAUGGGGUCGAUGAGAGCAACCUCCUAGGGUUGUUGUGAGAAUUAAAUGAGAUAAAAGAGGCCUCAGGCAGGAUCUGGCAUAGAGGAGGUGAUCAGCAAAUGUUUGUUGAAAAGGUUUGACAGGUCAGUCCCUUCCCACCCCUCUUGCUUGUCUUACUUGUCUUAUUUAUUCUCCAACAGCACUCCAGGCAGCCCUUGUCCACGGGCUCUCCUUGCAUCAGCCAAGCUUCUUGAAAGGCCUGUCUACACUUGCUGUCUUCCUUCCUCACCUCCAAUUUCCUCUUCAACCCACUGCUUCCUGACUCGCUCUACUCCGUGGAAGCACGCUCACAAAGGCACGUGGGCCGUGGCCCGGCUGGGUCGGCUGAAGAACUGCGGAUGGAAGCUGCGGAAGAGGCCCUGAUGGGGCCCACCAUCCCGGACCCAAGUCUUCUUCCUGGCGGGCCUCUCGUCUCCUUCCUGGUUUGGGCGGAAGCCAUCACCUGGAUGCCUACGUGGGAAGGGACCUCGAAUGUGGGACCCCAGCCCCUCUCCAGCUCGAAAUCGGCAGACUAGGAUGGAAGUGCCCUGUGAGCUGGGGGGCCCUUCAAAGGGCCAAGGAGAAAACGCAGGCCGAGGGACCAGCCUUCCAAAUGGGCUUCAAGCUCCAAUGACCUCCGCUCGCCCCCUCGAAAUGUCUGGAAAACAUAAUGGGCAGAUUUUCUGUCUUCAAAGUUUCCGGCUAAACCUCUUCAAGUUCUUUAUUGUUUGGGACUGAGACACUCAGCCAUGUUAAUGGGUAGUUUCUUUUGUAUUUGCCUUGAAAGGCCAAAAUAUUUUUAUAUUGCCACAGACAAAGCCACCUAUUUAAAAAUGAACUCCAUGUCCGUCGUUUCCCACCAGGAGACUAUGUACCAUGUGUGUGUCUCUAUGUAUUCUGGGGUCUUGAAACAGGUUUCUCAUGGGGAUGGUCAUUCACCACGGUCCAGAGGGGCAGAACAGGCGGCGCUUGCCUUGCCCAGGGGGCCUGGGGAACGUGGGCCCUCAUCUCAGAUCUGCCCCCAGUAUGUUUAGGACGCGAGCCCCAGAAGGAUCUGGGAGUAAACUUAACAUUCACUGUGUCUCUGCUCUGCAUCCGCCAUUUGUGUGUGUUUCUGGACUGUGGGCUGUGUGUACCUUGGUUGGUGACUCAGUGAGAAGAAGCAGGAAUGCCAAAGAUACUGUGAAUGUUCUGAGUUUUGUUGCUGUUGUUGUUGAGAGGUUGUUUCACUGGUAUCUAUUGCAUUGUAUAAUAAAUGACCAGAUGAAUGAAUGAGUGAAGCAAGAGAGAAUGAAUAAACAAGUAAAUAGGUAAAGAAGUAAGCAAGCCAGGAUGAGAGUGUGUGUACACAAGACCAUGGUUCAUCCGCUUUGAUGGCUAGGCAAUCAAUAUAUAAAUAGAAAAAAACCAGUGAAUCACUAAGUAAUAGGGCAACACACAAAGCGAUAUCAGGUGAUUAUGGACUAAGGGGUAUGUGUAACUCAAAUAUAUGCCUCUGACAUUUGACAAUGAAAAAGAACCUAAAUGAAAGAAAGAAUGGAUGUAUGAGUAGUGAAGUGCAGAAUGAGACAUAGAUUUUGAGGCCCGUCAAAAUGAAAAGAUGCAAGUUAGGGAACAAGUGAUCAAAAGGGAGAAGGGAAAGGUUUUUUUUAAAAAACCAAAACAACAAAGAAAGGUUAAAAAAAAAAACAGACUAGAGGAUGAGUAAUGAGUAACUCUGUAAGGAGGACCAUGUCAGACUAUUGUAAGCUAAGCAUUAGGACUGAUACAAAUAAUAUAUGCUCCUGGCAUAGAAAAAUAAACCACAGAGAACGAGUUCAAAGAAUAGCAAAGAAAGAAAGAGGACCCAGUGGGCGAAAGAUGAGAGUGUACUUUUACCAAAAGUUAUCUAAGCCUGAGCACUUGAAGUCUGCACAUAAAUAAAUAAAUGACAAAAGAAAGAAAAAAAGGCCAAAAA